AGGAUCAUCCUUCCUGUAUUAAGGGACCUCCUGGUCCAUUUUUAACACCUCAUCCGUUGACUGUGUCCAGAGUGCCCCAGGACCUGAGAGAGAGAGAGAGAAACAAAGAGAAAAAAGAGAGAGAGAAAGAGAAGAGAGUGAGAGAGAGUGAGUGUGUUUGCGGGAAGGAGGAAGAAAGUGGUCUGGGGUUCAGAAUCCCAGACUUGGUCUCAGUGAGUUUUCCUUUGUCCUAUUUUGCAGAUGGGGCCUCCACGUGAAAAGUAACUACAAAACAGAACCAGAAAAUAGUCAUGCUGUUCAAACAUUACACUCCAAGAAAAGAAACUCUAGUGUAUAACAGAAGGGCUCUGUCAAAAUUUAACAACAUAAAUAUUGGGCAAAUGAAGUUGUUUCUCUGGUGCUAUCUCAACCUGUCAAUGGGGAGAAAUAUCUCAAAAAGUCAAGAAUUGAAGCCAUUACUCAGAGACAGCAUCCUAUGGCACGGUGAUCCAAAACAAGUACACCUCUACCUUUUCCCUUUAAGCCCCAAACCCCAAAACACUGGAGAAUAUUGGGGCAGGCAAGGCCCGUGAAUAGGUGAGCAGAGCUGGAAGAAGAGACUCCUGCCCCUGGUGGGCCUCAGGCUAUUUGUGGAAUGAUGUUUGUGAGAUGAACACGUUCGCUCCCUCACCCGGAUGUUUUGGACACGGGCCUGGAGUAAAGAGUGUAUUUCUUGGGCUGUCAUGUUCCCGUGUGAAAGGUGUUUUGUUUUCUCCCCGUUUGCACAACUUGUUUCCCUUAA